rnacentral:rRNA from 1 species
AUGAUGUAUGUGAUAUAUUUGAAUCAACAAGCUAUGCGAUUUUUUUCAUUACGCAAUACAAAAGUAUGUUGCUACACCUUAUUUUCAAGGAAUACAGAAAUAUAUUGCUAUACCUUAUUUUCAGCAGUUAUAAAAUAUGUAUUCAAUUUAAUAGUUUUGAUAGAAUGCUCAUGUCAAGUUGCUAAUGUGGUUGGACAGAGAAAAAAUAUAUUGAAUUCAGUUGUUUUCAAUAGGCAGUGUGAUUUAUUAUUAAUUAGGAAAUACAGAAAAAAUGUGUGUAGGUAUCUUGAUUCUCUUAGAUGCCACUCCUGGUCAUGUCAUUUUUAA